rnacentral:lncRNA from 1 species
GCUCAUUCAUUCAAUCCACUGCCCGUCGGUCCUUCAUUCGUUCCCUGCCACUCCUAGUCACACAUAUACGCAUCCGAAGACACAAGAAAAAGAAGAAGCAGGGAGGCCAGCGUUCUACUUACAGAGGUGAGAAGUUGGGAAUCAUGGUUCUCCCCUAGCCCAUGGUUUGGCCAUCACGAUAGGAGCCAUGGAGCUUUUUUCUUCCUCCUCUCUCAAAACUCUAACCCUUAAUUUGGCCAUCGCGAUACAAAUUAAGGUGUUGGUUUCAUAUCUUCAAAGUUUUAUCCUUGGUUCGGCCAUCGCGGUACAAACCAAGGUGCUUGUUUCAUCUACCCCAAAUUUUCAUCCUUGAUUCGGUCAUCGAAGUACAAAUCAAGGAGCAUGUUAUAUUUACCUCAAAUCUUUGCCUUUAGUUUGGCCAUCAUGGUGAGAGUGAAGGAGGUCGCAUACUCUUCAUCUUAAUGAUCUCCUUCUUGGUUCGGCCAUCGUGGUACGAGCCAAGGAGCAUUUAUGGUUAUUUUACAUGUCGCAUACUCUUCGUCUUAAUGGUCUUCUUCUUUGUUCACUCCCCUUAGCGAUACAAGUCAAGAUGAACGUAAAUCUCGUUCCUUGGUUUGGUCCCUGUACGUGGAUACAAAUCAAGAGAAAAUCAUAAGGACAUGAAAUUCAUGAAAAUUGCCAUAGUUUGGUCAUCAUAAAAAAAUGUUAUAAUCUAGUUGGAAUGAAAUUAUGAAUAUGCAAAACUGAACGCAUAAUAAGAUUCCUGUUCGGUUACAUACGGACAUUAUGUGUCACCUUACUUGUAAUACGGCCAAGAAUAUACGAAAACAAACCUUCACUUGGUUACGCUACUCGCGAGUAUUAUCCUAAUGCUAUGCUGUGUUAGUAGUAAUACAAGCAAGGCAAGG